GCGAUGAAGUUUCUUCGGAAAUGGAUUAGCGGCGAACGGGUGAGGAACACGUGAGGAAUCUGCCUUCAACACUGGGAUAACUCCGGGAAACCGGGGCUAAUACCGGAUACGAGGCCUGCAGGCAUCUGCGGGUCUGGAAAGUUUUUCGGUUGAAGAUGACCUCGCGGCCUAUCAGCUUGUUGGUGAGGUAAUGGCUCACCAAGGCGACGACGGGUAGCCGGCCUGAGAGGGCGACCGGCCACACUGGGACUGAGACACGGCCCAGACUCCUACGGGAGGCAGCAGUGGGGAAUAUUGGGCAAUGGAGGAAACUCUGACCCAGCGACGCCGCGUGCGGGAUGAAGGCCUUCGGGUUGUAAACCGCUUUCAGUAGGGAAGAAGCGAAAGUGACGGUACCUACAAAAGAAGCACCGGCUAACUAUGUGC
rnacentral:rRNA from 1 species